rnacentral:rRNA from 1 species
CGAAAACUUUACAAUGCUGGAAACAGCGAUAAGGGGACCUCGAGUGCCAGGUUACAAAUCUGGCUGUCGUGAUGCCUAAAAAGCAUUGCAUAGCAAGGGCCGGGCAAGACCGGUGCCAGCCGCCGCGGUAACACCGGCGGCUCGAGUGGUAACCGUUAUUAUUGGGUCUAAAGGGUCUGUAGCCGGCCGGAUAAGUCUCUUGGGAAAUCCAGCAGCUCAACUGUUGGGCUUUCAGGAGAUACUGUCUGGCUCGAGGCCGGGAGAGGUGAGAGGUACUUCAGGGGUAGGGGUGAAAUCUUGUAAUCCUUGAAGGACCACCAGUGGCGAAGGCGUCUCACCAGAACGGACCUGACGGCAAGGGACGAAAGCUAGGGGCACGAACCGGAUUAGAUACCCGGGUAGUCCUAGCCGUAAACGAUACUCGCUAGGUGUCGGCCACGGUGCGACCGUUGUCGGUGCCGUAGGGAAGCCGUGAAGCGAGCCACCUGGGAAGUACGGCCGCAAGGCUGAAACUUAAAGGAAUUGGCGGGGGAGCAC